GCCCUCCAUCCCAACUGCCACUGGGUUUCAACUGCCACCUGGGAGACUGCUGGUAAAGAUGGGAGGUGGCCUUUGCCGCUUUCCAUCUUCUCACUGCAGUUUCUUCACGUGGGCCACUUGUACUUAAAAUGUCUUCUUAAUUUAUUCUUUUUACUUCCCCAGCUCCAAUUUGUCUACAGAUUUACAAAUUUGUUUUAUAGUUUUAUGACUCAAUUUGUAUUUUCGGUCCUAUGAAGCUUUUUGCCUUAAAUAUUUUUCUCUGUUUAUAAGAAUGUGCUGUUUCCUAGGCCAGUUUUGUACACACUCUUCCAUAGAAUAGAUCCAGAAGAAACACAACAAUACUGCCUUCAUCAUAUCAGGAGAUCUUGAUACCAAAUACGAGUGUUGCCUCCAAGAUGCAAGAUCCUGAGGGCUCCAAAGAAUCCACUGUCCGUCACAAAUCGACGGUCCGCCAGCUCAGUUUCAGAGACGUGGUGCUCCGCUGCAGGCCUCAUCCUCAGGUGCACCCUGGCAGUCAGCCAUCUGAAGAUUUCAGGGACCACCUGGAGGGGAGCGGACCAGAGAGACUUCCUCGGAAUAGGCUGUGGCUCUUCACAAGGUGUCUUCUAUGCUUUAUUUGGGAGCCAUUGCCUUGAGCGUUAUUUCCCAGAUGGUUUUCUAAUGUCACCAACUGAAGAAAAGACCCAUGCACACAGGACACAGCAUGAUCUGAUGCUCACAGCGUUUUCCUUCCUCUCUGAAAACGGACUCAGCGAUUCUGGCAAGCGGUACUUACUCUGAGAUCACCCGUUUGCUAAGGAAAAAUCUUAGUACUGAGAAAGGUGACACUUUCCUCCCUGCUUUUGCUGGAGAGACACUUUGGUUAUGAGUUAUUUCUAGCAUAACACAGUUUAUUUCAGAAGUCCAGCUCAAUAGCAGACCAAGGCAUGAACAACACAUGAAAAUUUAUGUUGGGAAAAUAUAUAUUGUAUGUCUGCUUGAACUGUGGGUUCUUGAUUAAUACAAAACUGGUUGAUGAAGGUUGUUACCUUCAGGAAAAUGCAAAUCUAGUGGAGGGACAAAACUCACAGUAACAGUAUUUCAUCAUAGCCACCAUGAGGCAGUACAUUAUGAAGCAUGUCAGUGAUGAAUUACUGGCAGGCUGGUCUGUCAUUGAAGCUACACUCUGUUUCUAGCUUCUGUUGCUUCUGCUGUCUCUCUCCUAACAUCUGCAUAUUCCUCCACUUUGUGGUGGAGGAAGCAUUAGGGCUGAUAUAGGGGAUUUCCAGUGAGUGUAUAAUUCAGUGCAGAAUUGGCAGGAAUAUAUUCCAUGGUUAGGAGCUGGAGAAAGUAAGAAAUAAAAAUAGACCUUGAAGAAUGGGUAGGAUUUUCAAAAUCAGAGAUAAAGACGCAAGAAAGAGAAUUCAGUUUUUCAAGUUUCUAAGCAAUCAUAUUUACAUGCAUAGACAUUUUGCUGGUUUCUGUCUUACUAAUGUAUACUACACUGUGUCUAAUCACUC
rnacentral:lncRNA from 1 species